rnacentral:ncRNA from 1 species
CAUGGUAAAAAGCAAUCUUGUCAAAAGACAGGGUGCGAAGCUAUGGGGCAAGGCCAUUUAUGGUUAUAACUGCCAGGUUACCAUA